GUGACGUAUUGUUAUUCUACGUUUCUUUUUUUUCUUAUUAUUUUUCUUCCACCGAUUUUGUCCAGCUUAUUUCUCGGAAUCCAAUGGACCAGUUGGUGAAACUCUACUAUAAUAAGGACACCAUCAUAAGUUGUACAGUGGACUUUGGCAUGUGCAAGAUGGCUGCCGUUGCCAUGGAAACGAAACAAAUGUGAAAAAAUCCUGUUUUU
rnacentral:lncRNA from 1 species